CCAUGCCGUCGUGUAUGUAAGAAGGCCUUCGGGUUGUAAAGUACUUUCAGUCAGUGAGGAAGUGGGUAUGUUAAUAGUCAUACUCAUUUGACGUUUAGCUGCAGAAGAAGCACCGGCUAACUCCGUGCCAGCAGCCGCGGUAAUACGGAGGGUGCGAGCGUUAAUCGGAAUUACUGGGCGUAAAGCGCAUGCAGGUGGUUUGUUAAGUCAGAUGUGAAAGCCCGGGGCUCAACCUCGGAAUUGCAUUUGAAACUGGCAAACUAGAGUACUGUAGAGGGGGUAGAAUUUCAGGUGUAGCGGUGAAAUGCGUAGAGAUCUGAAGGAAUACCGGUGGCGAAGGCGGCCCCCUGGACAGAUACUGACACUCAGAUGCGAAAGCGUGGGGAGCAAACAGGAUUAGAUACCCUGGUAG
rnacentral:rRNA from 1 species